GACGAACGCUGGCGGCGUGCUUAACACAUGCAAGUCGAACGGAAAGGCCCUGCUUUUGUGGGGUGCUCGAGUGGCGAACGGGUGAGUAACACGUGUGUAACCUGCCCUUGACUUUGGGAUAACUUCAGGAAACUGGGGCUAAUACCGUAUCGGAGCUCCUGCUGCCUGGUGGGGGUUGGAAAGUUUCGGCGGUUGGGGAUGGACUCGCGGCUUAUCAGCUUGUUGGUGGGGUGGUGGCUUACCAAGGCUUUGACGGGUAGCCGGCCUGAGAGGGUGACCGGCCACAAUGGGACUGAGAUACGGCCCAGACUCCUACGGGGGGCAGCAGUGGGGAAUAUUGCACAAUGGGCGGAAGCCUGAUGCAGCAACGCCGCGUGCGGGAUGACGGCCUUCGGGUUGUAAACCGCUUUCGCCUGUGACGAAGCGGGAGUGACGGUAAUGGGUAAAGAAGCACCGGCUAACUACGUG
rnacentral:rRNA from 1 species